AUCUCACAGUUGCUUAAAAGCGAUGUACUUAUGAGAAUAACAGUAAUUAGCUAGAGACACAAAUUCAAAUACAAAAUGGAUGUUUGGGUGCAGAUUUUCAGCUUCUUGCUAAUCAGUGUCACAGUCAUAGUGUCCAGAGGAGAAAUUGUGCUCACCCAGUCUCCAGCAAUCAUGGCUGCAUCUUCAGGGGAAAAGGUCACCAUCACCUGCAGUGCCAGCUCAAGUGUAAGUUACUUGCACUGGUACCAGCAGAAGUCAGGUGCCUCCCCCAAACUCUGGAUUUAUAGCACAUCCAACCUGGCUUCUGGAGUCCCAGCUCGCUUCAGUGGCAGUAGGUCUGGGAACUCUUACUCUCUCACAAUCAGCAACAUGGAGGCUGAAGAUGCUGCCACUUAUUACUGCCAGCAGUGCUGUAAUUCUCCACACACACAGUGA